UUUAUCUGACAUAGCUCAUGGCAUCUAGGUUUGUCUGACAUUCUAGAUUUGGGAUUGUCACUAUGAUCUCACAGUAUCUUUUGAUAUGAUAAGUAUUACUUCUACAUAUAUAUGCAAGUCUUUAACUUGAUUUAUUUGAACUAUACAGUGUUCUGGAUGACACACUUGAAAUUAUAAAUUUUAAAUUAUACUUAACUUCUAUAAUGCCUGACAUAUCUUAUGGCACAUAAAAUGAUACUGUCAGUGUGGACUCCCUGGCAUCAGCCCCUAAGUUGAAAUGGCAGAUAGGACAUUUACACAAUCAAGGCCAAUACCACCAGGCCACCCAAUGCCUAUUUCUGAAACAGGAAUGUAGAAAAAAUUCCCUGCAGACAAAGCCCCCUUUGAUAAUUUCUACAUUGGCGGACAAAAUCCCUUUUGCUGAAUUUCACAUUGAAUACAAAACCCUCCUCAAUAAAAUGUCUGCGCAAAGUUGUAAGGCAGGUAUACUGGUUUCUGGUUGUCUGCCCUGUGCAGCAUCCCUUGACACAAUUUAAUGAAGCUUUACACAAAUGAUCAGUUGUAAUGGUAGUUGUGCAUUGUGCCUGUUAGAUUCAUUUUAGAAAAAAAAAUGCAGAGUUACGGGACAUUGUUUUGUUGUGUUUUUUUUUGUUACUAGAGCAACUUGCCCUAUUAACCACAGGUUUUAAUGUAAGGUAAAUUUUAUUUACCGUCACUUUGUGAAACAAUUUGCAUAAGCUCUGUAGAGCUUUUGAGCAACCUUAUUUUAGGAACAGUUAAAACCAUUUAUACCUUACCCCCAGCAAUUUGCUGGCACCCAUUUACAGCUGGUUCGACUGAGGCAAUCAUGAUUAAGUGCCUUGCCCAAGGACACACCACAAUGGGAGUAGCCAGGAUUCGAACCUGGGGUCUUCACCUGCACAGAAAGUGUCUCAGUCCUCUCGACCAAUGCAUCCACAUAAAGCAUGAAUGAAUAUAUUUGAUGACAGAGCGAUCCAUUUUUCAGUUGAAAUUUAUCUGUUUCCAAAUCCGGAUUUGGUUGAAAUAUUGAUGUGCAACUUCAUUAUCUUUGCACAUUGAUCAGUGAGAAUUAUUUUAACAAAUGUAGGAAAGUUCUUAUAAAUUUUCAGUUUGGCUAAUAUUGACACCCCCUCUCCUAUUAACGGCUCCUUUAAGAUAAUGUUAAUUAAGUUUUUACUAGAAAGUUAUUGAUAAUAUGCAUAAGUUUUUUUAAUAUAAUUUUAAAUGACUGUCUUCCAACUUUUACUAUAAUAUAUCAUUCUGUUCUGGUUGUCGACAGCAAAGUAAUAUAUAUAAACCAGCAGUUCUUUCUACAUGUCCUUUAAUAAAGCAAAUACAGGAAGUCUUGUAUUUCUGUUUCUGGAUACAUAAAUUAACACAAUUUGCAUAUUACAUUGUUUUCGCUAAAUUAAAACACCCAUUGAAAGCACUAUAAACCCAGCUGCAUUUGUAACCACAGCAAUAUAUUUCAUUACCACUAUAAGGCAUAAAAAAAAAUGUUUGUUUCCGAUAUCCCGACCUACAGCUCGUUUAGAUAGGUUAGCCUUGUUGAUGUACUUAUCAGAUAGACUUUCCCGGUUUAUAGGUUUGUCAGGGCUAUGGAUAUGUAUUGUAUUUUGCCAUCAGAAUAUUUCCAUAAAAUGCUUCUUCCCCUUCCGUUUGGAUCUGUCCAUGUUUACAAACACGUUUGUUUAUUUUAUUGAUUGUGCCCUAAAUUUUUUGCCCGACCUUAAAUGUUUUUCAAAAAUGAAGAUUGCCAAAUUUACUACAUAUUUAUGUCAUAGUUACAUCAUAUUGAUUUUCUUUUUUUAUUUGUAGAACCGUUGUGCAACCGUUUCAAAGUCAAUAAUGCUGAAGAGAUUUUGUUUCAGAAAGAAGUCUGAUUCAUCUUAGUUAUUCAGGGACAACCUGCAAUAAUUUGUAUUUAGUAGAAUAAGUGGAUCAGUUAUCCAUAUUUAUACUGAUUUUCUCCAAGAAACUUCUUUCUAUUCACAGACAGUGAAUGUACAUAAUAACUGGUACACAUAAACAAUUUAUUGAACACCGGAAACAGAUCAAAGCUUUUGCUAAUACCCAAAGAUAUUAAAAAGGGACUUGCAGGUGUGAUUUAUUGACAGGGAUGCUUCUAUCACCUGACUCAGGCUACAUGGUGGCGUGUCCAGGCAGAAGGUCUUCAGGCAGCCUACAACUCUGACGAGGGAGUCAAAACAUUCUGUGGGAAGUUGGACAGUCUGGCGUUCUUACCGACUGCUGACGUUGCCAAUGGUAUGGAAGUUCUACGCGAGGAAGCACCUGAGAACAUGACCUGUCUUGUCGAUUACUUUGAUGCUAAUUAUGUUAAUGGUAACUUCAGAUCUGUGGUGGCACCACAUGGAAACUUAAGACUACGCAAGACGUCUCCAAGAUUCUGCCCAACAGUAUGGAAUGUACAUGAAGCUACGCUUCAGGACAGAGACAGAACAAACAACCAGUGCGAGUCGUGGAACCAUAGUUUCAAACAUCUUGUAGGUCAUUCAAAUCCAUCACUCUGGACAGUAGUAAGCUGUUUGAAUAAGGAUGCAACAAUGGUUGAAGCCGACAUCUUGAGGUGUGAGCGUGGAGAACCGCCCAAGAAAAGAGUGAAGAAAUCAACAAAAGCACACCAGCAGAGACUGAAGACUCUUUGUCAACAGUAUGCCAAUGGCCAAAAGAAUAUUCAGGAAUUUCUUAAUGCUAUGGGACAAUUUAUUAGAAUUAACUAAGUGUUAUAUAACAGUUUAUAGUAAAGCAGACACAGGAAAAUGUGCUUUAGUUUACUUAAGAACUCUUGUGCUAAUGUUAUAAAUGAGAUAAUAAUGACAUGAAAUAACUGUUAUACUUGUUGUAUUUUAUUUAUUUUUUAGUGACCAAUUAAAAUGAAUAGAAACUGAUUUGUUGUCAUAGUUGUAUUGUACUGCUUAUCUUUCAUAUAUCUAUAUAUCUAUAAUGCUGGUUAUUAUAACUUUAUGAAAAUAGAAACCACACAAUUCCCCAAAGAGGGGAUUUCAAUCAGGGGGAUUUUGAUAGCCCUGUAAUUUUCAUGAAGGGGAUUAUGAUAGCCCUAACAUUUUUAUGAAGGGGAUUAUGAUAGCCCUGUAAAAAUCACAGAGGGGAUUAUGAUACCCCCUUCAAAAGUGUGAAGGGGAUUUUGUAACACCCUGUCA
rnacentral:lncRNA from 1 species